rnacentral:rRNA from 1 species
GACGAACCGCGCGAACGUUGUUCGGAAUCACUGGGCUUAAAGGGCGCGUCGGCGGGUGCUCAAGUCCGUGGUGAAAUCCUCCGGCUCAACCGGAGAACUGCCAUGGAUACUGGGUGUCUCGAGGGUGAUAGGGGUAUGCGGAACUAUCGGUGGAGCGGUGAAAUGCGUUGAUAUCGAUAGGAACUCCGGUGGCGAAGGCGGCAUACUGGAUCACAUCUGACGCUGAGGCGCGAAAGCGUGGGGAGCGAACAGG